GGCUCUUGCUGGGUGGCCUCCGGCGGCUGCGGCGCCUGGAGCUGCGGGUGGUCCUAGAGGCCACCAUUUGAGCUUGUGCGAGCACGGCCACCGCGUGAGCCGAGCUGUUCCCCACGGCGAUCAAGGUGAACAUUUUUCCCCACGGCGCAUCUCCUCUCCUUCAGUGUAGAUCUUAUGCAGCAAAAAUUACUGGACCUCAGUCCACAAUAGCUUUAUUUUUUCUGUAAUUUAUGCGAAGCUCAGCCCACCAUAGCAGUAAUUUAGUUCUGAAUCUGAAUUCCCUGCUGAUCUAUUUUCCAUGUAUGUGUAUGUAGUAUGCUUCAGUGUUGUUGUUACUGGAUCUCAGUCUAAAAUAGUUUGUUGUUAGAUCCUUGAAGUGCUACCAAUCUACGAAUCCACUAUGCAUACGAACAAUACGUGAAUUUCAGGCAUCCACAAUCACAAAUGUUUUAUUUUACUAAUAAAAACUUAUGCAGCGGAGACAUCCAAAGGUGAAGCCAAACUGCAUCCGAGCUAGGACAUGUGGAUAUAAGGCAUAACAGCGAAAGCAAGCACUGUUAUUCGACUAUCAAUGACAGCCAUCAAUUGUGUUUUCUCAAGGGUUAGGACAGCAUUGUACGCAAACUGUAUGCACUUUUAUCGUACCCAGAGCAAUUCCGCUUGACCAAUGCCCUAUGGCGAAACAACGAGCGAUGCCCCGUAGUUAGGCACCAGUAUAUUAGUGGCCGCUUAUUUGCUUUACUUAUGUCUCGGAGUUCAACUGUUUCUUGUGUUUGAGCAAUGUAAAUAUUGGUAUUACUUAAG
rnacentral:lncRNA from 1 species